CUGAUGUAAUUACACUUUGGAUAUUUCGCAUUGCAGGGAGAACAUACUGAGCUUUGCCGUCGCCGUCGCUGGGAAGUACUUCGUUACCGACGGCGAUGUACUUGAAUUUGACACUGGGUGAGUAGGCUUUUACGUUCCUUUGUACCCAAUUAUUUGCAGUGUUAGUACUACUUGCUAUGCCUUGAAGCUGAUCGUUUGGGACAUCCAAGAUGAGUUCAAUGUUGGAGUCUCUAAGGGCUUGGAGAGCUGCAUCAUUUGGAGCAUAAAGCCUCAUUCUUCCAAUGUUUGAUGAUUUAUAAAGAUUCACAACUUCCCGUGGA